GACGAACGCUGGCGGCGUGCUUAACACAUGCAAGUCGAACGAUGAAGAAAAGAAUUGAAGCUUCGGCAGAAAUUCAUUUCGGAUUAGUGGCAGACGGGGGAGUAACGCGUGAGCAACCUACCUCUUACAAAGGGAUAGCCUCGGGAAACCGGGAUUAAUACCAUAUAACAUUGCGACGAAGCAUUUCGAUGCAAUCAAAGCUACGGCGGUAAGAGAUGGGCUCGCGUCCCAUUAACCAGAUGGUGAGGUAACGGCUCACCAUAGUAACGAUGGGUAACCGGCCUGAGAGGGUGAACGGUCACACUGGAACUGAGACACGGUCCAGACUCCUACGGGAGGCAGCAGUGGGGAAUAUUGCACAAUGGAGGGAACUCUGAUGCAGCGACGCCGCGUGAGUGAUGAAGGAAUUCGUUUCGUAAAACUCUGUUCUAUGGGAAGAAAAUGACGGUACCAUAGGAGAAAGCUCCGGCUAAAUACGUG
rnacentral:rRNA from 1 species